GUUAGAGAAUCUUCCUGAUUAAAACAUGCUGGGUGACAUCCAACCUCCAGAGAGUCGUAGGCUGCAUUUGGUUCCACAUUAGCAUGUGUCUUCCCCUCAGUGAUGAAAUUUGUGAUGUUCAAGAAGUGAGUAAUGGUCUUCAGCAAGGCGACACAGGCCAAGGUAGACCCAGAACAUGUCGGAGGGAUUACACAUCCCAGGGAACAUCUUGGGAACUACCAAGAGGAGCUGAAGGACGUGGCUAGAGAGGAAUGUUUGGGCAAUCAUGAUCUGUGUAACUAGCAUGUGUGUGUUGUCUCCGGCCGUUAUCGCAUCGCUGUGUGGCCACUGAGGAUAAAGCAGCGGGGCUCCAGGUCUGACAGGCUCCGAGGGAAUCACCUGUCAGCAGGCAGACUCAUGUCAUCGGACAGAAGCUGCUCUCCUGGAAGAAGGAAGAGAAGAAGUCACUUGUGUGAAAAAUGACAUCACGUUUUCCACAUCGUAUUUGAUUGAUAGCUCUAUCAACUGUUUCUCUCGAUGAACCGACUCUUAAUAGAACAAUAGUGGAUGAAAAUACAGAUUUCCUUUUGCACAUUUUCUGGAAAUUUGGUUAAAACUUGCACUGAAUUUUGAUGGGACCUUGACAGAUGUUGGGUUUCUGGUCUGCAAGUUUCCUGUUUUGGUUUAUUCAGCUGUUUACAGCAAAAACAAAGCUAUACACUACCAAGUUCAAUGCAUGUAACAAGGUGCAAGAUGAGUCUAAUAUAGUCUUAAUGUGAAUCUGUGUCAGAUUGUAUUAUAUCAAUUUUGAGACUUGUCAGAAGGUGUAAUAAAUACCAGGUGAAUCGAA